rnacentral:rRNA from 1 species
UACGUAGGUGGCGAGCGUUGUCCGGAUUUACUGGGCGUAAAGCGCGCGUAGGUGGCCUGUUAAGUUUUGCGUGAAAGGUUCCGGCCCAACCGGGACAGUGCGCGAGAUACUGGCGGGCUUGAGGGCAGCAGAGGCUGAUGGAAUUCCCGGUGGAGUGGUGAAAUGCGUAGAUAUCGGGAGGAACACCAGUGGCGAAGGCGAUCAGCUGGGCUGUCCCUGACGCUGAGGUGCGAAAGCGUGGGGAGCGAAC